UGACUAUUAGAACAAGCAGGAAUAGAAAGAGAAGCAUUACAUUAAAGGGAAACAAGUAUUUUAAAGAAAUGGAAUCUAUUGUUAAGAAAUCAUCAGCCACUCAUUCUCAGUCCUGGGCUGCUUUCCUCACUCUCUGCAUGACUUAUAAUAUUCAUCUGAAAGCUUAAAAAUUACAUUUCUUUCACAUCUCCCCCCACCCCACGUUGAUUUCUCCCACUGUGUUACUAAUCAAAAGGAAAUUAACAUGACUGUUGAGGGUUACUUUCUUGCUUGUAAACCUAUGUUAUCAGUAGCAUCACUCUCGUAGAAUACUGUAUCAUUUGGUAGAUAAAUAGUGUAUAAAUGUGAGGGGUGUUCACAGAAAUCAUCCCAAAUCUGUACAUAUUUGUGUGCUAGUGUGCUAUUGAGGGAAUUAGAUUGUUUCCUAAUGCUGAGCAAAGUGGCAUAAUGAGACAAUUUUCUGGAUAUUUAUAAUCAAAGACUUCUUUCAACUCUGUUUCUUCCUUCCUUCCUUCCUUCCUUCCUUCCUUCCUUCCUUCCUUCCUUCCUUCCUUCCUUCCUUCCUUCCUUCCUUCCUUCCUUCUUUCCUUCUUUCCUUCUUUCUUUCUUUCUUUCUUUCUUUCUUUCUUUCUUUCUUUCUUUCUUUCUUUCUUUCUUUCUUUCUUUCUUUCUCUCUUCCUUUCUUUCUUUCUUCCUUCCUUUCUUUCUUUCUUCCUUUCUUCCUUUCUUCCUUUCUUCCUUCCUUUCUUUCUUUCUUUCUUUCUUUCUUUCUUUUCUUCCUUCCUUCCUUCCUCUCUUUCUUUCUCUCUCUCUCUCUUUCUUUCUUUCUUUCUAUUUUUUCUUUCUUUAAUUCUUGACAAAAAGAUGUAUGCAUAUAUGUAAAAUUAUGUCUCCCUUAUUUCUAUCUAUCAUUUCUUUCUCCAGAUGAGAACACACAAGUUAUUCUUUAAACAAUAUUUCUGUCAUUGUAUAUAAUGUUCUCUUGGUUCUGCUUGUUUCACUCUUCAUCUUUUUUUUUAAGUAAGUUGCUCCUCAUUUCUUAAGGAACAGUAAUAUACCAUCACAAUCCUAUGAGACAUUUUGUUUAGCCAUUCCCCAACUGAUGGGCAUCCCCUCAAUUUCUAGUCCUUUGCCACCACAAAAAGAGCAGCUAUAAAAUAUUUU
rnacentral:lncRNA from 1 species